rnacentral:rRNA from 1 species
GACGAACGCUGGCGGCGUGCCUAAUACAUGCAAGUAGAACGCUGAAGAGAGGAGCUUGCUCUUCUUGGAUGAGUUGCGAACGGGUGAGUAACGCGUAGGUAACCUGCCUGGUAGCGGGGGAUAACUAUUGGAAACGAUAGCUAAUACCGCAUAAAAUUGAUUAUUGCAUGAUAAUUAAUUGAAAGAUGCAACUGCAUCACUACCAGAUGGACCUGCGUUGUAUUAGCUAGUUGGUGAGGUAACGGCUCACCAAGGCGACGAUACAUAGCCGACCUGAGAGGGUGAUCGGCCACACUGGGACUGAGACACGGCCCAGACUCCUACGGGAGGCAGCAGUAGGGAAUCUUCGGCAAUGGGGGGAACCCUGACCGAGCAACGCCGCGUGAGUGAAGAAGGAUUUCGGAUCGUAAAGCUCUGUUGUAAGAGAAGAACGGGUGUGAGAGUGGAAAGUUCACACUGUGACGGUAUCUGACCAGAAAGGGACGGCUAACUACGUG